rnacentral:rRNA from 1 species
GACGAACGCUGGCGGCGUGCUUAACACAUGCAAGUCGAACGGAAAGGCCCUGCUUUUGUGGGGUGCUCGAGUGGCGAACGGGUGAGUAACACGUGAGUAACCUGCCCUUGACUUUGGGAUAACUUCAGGAAACUGGGGCUAAUACCGGAUAGGAGCUCCUGCUGCAUGGUGGGGGUUGGAAAGUUUCGGCGGUUGGGGAUGGACUCGCGGCUUAUCAGCUUGUUGGUGGGGUAGUGGCUUACCAAGGCUUUGACGGAUACCCGGCCUGAGAGGGAGACCGGCCACAUUGGGACUGAGAUACGGCCCAGACGCCUACGGGAGGCAGCAGUGGGGAAUAUUGCACAAUGGGCGGAAGCCUGAUGCAGCAACGCCGCGUUCGGGAUGACGGCCUUCGGGUUGUAAACCGCUUUCGCCUGUGACGAAGCGGGAGUGACGGUAAUGAAUAAAGAAGCACCGGCUAACUACGUG